rnacentral:rRNA from 1 species
GUCGUCAGCUCGUGUCGUGAGAUGUUGGGUUAAGUCCCGCAACGAGCGCAACCCUCGACCUUAGUUGCCAGCAUUCAGUUGGGCACUCUAAGGUGACUGCCGGCUAAAAGUCGGAGGAAGGUGGGGAUGACGUCAAAUCAUCAUCGCCCCUUUAUGACCUGGGCUACACACGUGCUACAAUGGGCGGUACAAAGGGUCGCGAACCCGCGAGGGGGAGCCAAUCCCAAAAAGCCGCUCUCAGUUCGGAUUGCAGGCUGCAACUCGCCUGCAUGAAGCCGGAAUCGCUAGUAAUCGCGGAUCAGCAUGCCGCGGUGAAUACGUUCCCGGGCCUU